UACGUAGGCAGCGAGCGUUGUUCGGAGUUACUGGGCGUAAAGGGCGCGUAGGCGGUCAGCACAAGUCAGUUGUGAAAUCUCCGGGCUUAACUCGGAAAGGUCAACUGAUACUGUGCGACUAGAGUGCGGAAGGGGCAACUGGAAUUCUCGGUGUAGCGGUGAAAUGCGUAGAUAUCGAGAGGAACACCUGCGGCGAAGGCGGGUUGCUGGGCCGACACUGACGCUGAUGCGCGAAAGCCAGGGAGCGAACGGG
rnacentral:rRNA from 1 species